CAUUUUUCACCCCAAUAGAAUUGGAAAUAUUAAUGACUGCAUAUGGAGAAUAUGAGCAUGUCUUUAGAAAGAAGUGCAACACUGCAGCGGCUGCUAAAGAGAGGGAGAGGGCAUGGGAGAGCAUUGCUGCUCGGGUCAAUGCGUAAGUUUAAAUGUAAUAUUUUGCAAUCACAAUAACUAUUGAAGGGCAAAUUGCAUGAAUGGAGCCUAUUAAUUUAUUUCAUGUAGGUGCAAUCCGGCGGGGGAGAAGCGCACUUGGCAGCAACUUAAGAUGAAAUAUAAAAACAUUGUUCAAACAGGUCAGACAUCUGCAUGACUUGACUCUGAACUUCUUUGAUCCCUUCCAUAAUGCUCUUUUAACACUCAAAAAUGUCUUCUUUAUAUUGUAUUAAACAAUGAAGCCUAAUAAACUAACCCAGAUUUUUACUCAGCCAACAGAAAGAGGGCAGAUGCCCGAAAAACAGGUGGUGGCCCAGCAGCCCCACCUCUAACGGAGGCAGAGGAGCUGGCCCUGAGCCAGAAUGUGGGAAGGCCAGUGGCAGAGGGAAUCCCUGGUGGGAGCUCAUCCUCUGAGCCCCCACCUCAAGACACAAGUGCCUACAUAAAAUAUUCUGAUGGUGCCAUCUGCCUGGUGGAGCCCCCUCACGCCACAGCAGACCCUGCAACUGACGAAGACAAUGAGGAGGAAACAAUGUCUGCUGCCUUCACAGAGGAGGAUCCUGGAAGGCCUAUUGAGAGUGUGGCUGGGCAGCAGCAGGAGACUCCCCUGACCUCAACUGCAGAGAUUGACACAGUGAGACAGCUGUUCAUGAAACUCCAGAGAUUUAUUGUGUGGAAUUCAUGUACAACAGGUUAAUUUUAUGUCCUCUUUAUGUAUUCCCAGUUACCAGUAAAAGAAAUUUAUAAAAUUCACCUCCUAAAAAAAAUCCAGAAGACCGAUAAAGAAAUGCUAUACCUCGACCGCCAGAUUAAAAAAGCAGAUUUGGAAAUCCAAAUACUGGAACAUAAAUUAAAGG